rnacentral:rRNA from 1 species
CGGUGUUUAACUGGCGUGAUGUGGGACGUCCUACCGGUGGGCUUAGCCUCGCGAGGGGCGGCCCAACUAAUAUCCCGUCGCGGUGCUCUUUACUGAGUGUCGAGUCGGGCCGGUACGUUUACUUUGAACAAAUUAGAGUGCUUAAAGCAGGCUAUCCUCGCCUGAAUACUGCGUGCAUGGAAUAAUGGAAUAGGACCUCGGUUCUAUUUUGUUGGUUUUCGGAACCCCGAGGUAAUGAUUAAUAGGGACAGAUGGGGGCAUUCGUAUUGCGACGUUAGAGGUGAAAUUCUUGGAUCGUCGCAAGACGGACAGAAGCGAAAGCAUUUGCCAAAAAUGUUUUCAUUAAUCAAGAACGAAAGUUAGAGGUUCGAAGGCGAUCAGAUACCGCCCUAGUUCUAACCAUAAACGAUGCCAGCUAGCGAUCCGCCGAAGUUCCUCCGAUGACUCGGCGGGCAGCUUCCGGGAAACCAAAGCUUUUGGGUUCCGGGGGAAGUAUGGUUGCAAAGAUGAAACUUAAAGGAAUUGACGGAGGGGCACCACCAGGAGUGGAGCCUGCGGCUUAUUUGACUCAACACGGGAAACCUCACCAGGCCCAGACACCGGAAGGAUUGACAGAUUGAUAGCUCUCUCUUGAUUCGGUGGGUGGUGGUGCAUGGCCGUUUUUAGUUGGUGGAGAGAUUUGUCUGGUUAAUUCUGAUAACGAACGAGACUCUAGCCUGCUAAAUAGGCGUACCUUAUGGUAUCGCGAAGGCCCCCGGCUUCGGCCGGUGGGUUUUUACUACCAACGUACAAACAAAUCUUUUUAGAGGGACAGGCGG